UACGGGGGGGGCAAGCGUUGUUCGGAAUUACUGGGCGUAAAGGGCUCGUAGGCGGCUCGCUAAGUCGGACGUGAAAGCCCUCGGCUCAACCGGGGAACGGCGUCUGAGACUGGCAAGCUGGAAUCCGGGAGAGGGAUGCGGAAUUCCAGGUGUAGCGGUGAAAUGCGUAGAUAUCUGGAGGAACACCGGUGGCGAAGGCGGCAUCCUGGACCGGCAUUGACGCUGAGGAGCGAAAGCCAGGGGAGCAAACGGG
rnacentral:rRNA from 1 species